AACGAACGCUGGCGGCAGGCCUAACACAUGCAAGUCGAACGCUGUAGCAAUACAGAGUGGCAGACGGGUGAGUAACACGUGGGAACCUACCUAUUGGUACGGAAUAGCUCAGGGAAACUUGAGGUAAUACCGUAUACGCCCUUACGGGGAAAGAUUGAUCGCCGAUAGAUGGGCCCGCGUCUGAUUAGCUAGUUGGUGAGGUAAUGGCUCACCAAGGCGACGAUCAGUAGCUGGUUUGAGAGAAUGACCAGCCACACUGGGACUGAGACACGGCCCAGACUCCUACGGGAGGCAGCAGUGGGGAAUCUUGGACAAUGGGCGCAAGCCUGAUCCAGCCAUGCCGCGUGAGUGACGAAGGCCUUAGGGUUGUAAAGCUCUUUUGGCGGGGACGAUAAUGACGGUACCCGCAGAAUAAGCCCGGCUAACUUCGUG
rnacentral:rRNA from 1 species